rnacentral:rRNA from 1 species
ACCCUGGUAGUCCACGCCGUAAACGAUGUCGACUUGGAGGUUGUGCCCUUGAGGCGGUGGCUUCCGGAGCUAACGCGUUAAGUCGACCGCCUGGGGAGUACGGCCGCAAGGUUAAAACUCAAAUGAAUUGACGGGGGCCCGCACAAGCGGUGGAGCAUGUGGUUUAAUUCGAUGCAACGCGAAGAACCUUACCUACUCUUGACAUCCAGAGAACUUAGCAGAGAUGCUUUGGUGCCUUCGGGAACUCUGAGACAGGUGCUGCAUGGCUGUCGUCAGCUCGUGUUGUGAAAUGUUGGGUUAAGUCCCGCAACGAGCGCAACCCUUAUCCUUUGUUGCCAGCGGUCCGGCCGGGAACUCAAAGGAGACUGCCAGUGAUAAACUGGAGGAAGGUGGGGAUGACGUCAAGUCAUCAUGGCCCUUACGAGUAGGGCUACACACGUGCUACAAUGGCGCAUACAAAGAGAAGCGACCUCGCGAGAGCAAGCGGACCUCAUAAAGUGCGUCGUAGUCCGGAUUGGAGUCUGCAACUCGACUCCAUGAAGUCGGAAUCGCUAGUAAUCGUAGAUCAGAAUGCUACGGUGAAUACGUUCCCGGGCCUUGUACACAC